rnacentral:rRNA from 1 species
UAUAGAGGUCCCGAACGUUGUUCGGAUUCAUUGGGCGUAAAGGGUGCGUAGGCGGCGGGGCAAGUCUGAUGUGAAAUCCCGGGGCUCAACCCCGGAACUGCAUUGGAUACUGCCUUGCUUGAGUACUGGAGAGGGAACUGGAAUUUACGGUGUAGCAGUGAAAUGCGUAGAGAUCGUAAGGAAGGCCAGUGGCGAAGGCGAGUUCCUGGACAGUUACUGACGCUGAGGCACGAAGGCCAGGGGAGCAAACGGG